rnacentral:rRNA from 1 species
UACUGAGUGGCGGACGGGUGAGUAACGCGUGGGUAACCUGCCUCAUACAGGGGAUAACAGUUAGAAAUGACUGCUAAUACCGCAUAAGACCACAGUACCGCAUGGUACAGGGGUUAAAACUCCGGUGGUAUGAGAUGGACCCGCGUCUGAUUAGGUAGUUGGUGGGUAACGGCCUACCAAGCCGACGAUCAGUAGCCGACCUGAGAGGGUGACCGGCCACAUUGGGACUGAGACACGGCCCAA